AUGCACGCUGGCGGCGUGCCUAAUACAUGCAAGUCGCGCGAACAGACGAGGAGCUUGCUCCUCUGACGUUAGCGGCGGACGGGUGAGUAACACGUGGAUAACCUACCUAUAAGACUGGGAUAACUUCGGGAAACCGGAGCUAAUACCGGAUAAUAUAUUGAACCGCAUGGUUCAAUAGUGAAAGACGGUUUUGCUGUCACUUAUAGAUGGGUCCGCGCCGCAUUAGCUAGUUGGUAAGGUAACGGCUUACCAAGGCAACGAUGCGUAGCCGACCUGAGAGGGUGAUCGGCCACACUGGAACUGAGACACGGUCCAGACUCCUACGGGAGGCAGCAGUAGGGAAUCUUCCGCAAUGGGCGAAAGCCUGACGGAGCAACGCCGCGUGAGUGAUGAAGGUCUUCGGAUCGUAAAACUCUGUUAUUAGGGAAGAACAAAUGUGUAAGUAACUAUGCACGUCUUGACGGUACCUAAUCAGAAAGCCACGGCUAACUACGUG
rnacentral:rRNA from 1 species